UGUUUGCGUCAAUGUCGAAGAUUUAUGAUUUGGAAUUGCAAAACUCUAAUUGUGAGAUAGUUGCUCAUGAUUGAUUGGAUUUCUUAUUAUAGUGUUGGCAUAUUCAUAUUUAUUUUACCAAGACCAAAUCUCAUCUUCCAGAUUGGAUCAGUACGGUAUUGCGAAAUUUGCAGAAAGCUUUGAAAUGAUACCUAAAACUUUGGCUGAGAAUGCUGGGCUUAAUGCAAUAGAGAUCAUCUCAUCCUUAUAUGCCGAACAUGCUUCUGGUAACACCAAAGUGGGCAUUGAUUUGGAGGAAGGUGUCUGCAAAGAUGCCUCUACUGUGCGCAUAUGGGAUCUCCACAUUACUAAGUAAGUUACUCCUUGUGAGUGUAGAAUAAUUUAGAAUAAUGGGUUUUGAUACAUUUUUCUUCUGUAAAUAAUACUUGCUGAUUGGAAAAUAUGAAUAUUGCAAUGGAUUCCCCUCUCUGGUUUCUAGCUAGACCGUCCUAACCUGGCUUCUUUCCAUCCCUCAACUGCCUUAGACUGAACACAAGCUAGUGAUUUCAAUCCACCACACCUCUUCUAGUAGAUUUUAUCUUAGAAUCGUAUCUCAGAACAUCUACAAAAGUAAAUUGUAAACAUACUCACCACAUCAAAUUUGACAUUACGCAGAAAAUUGCUGCAAUAAAUCUGAUCUGUGGAGUUCCAUAUACCAAAGUACUCACUGUAAUUGGACUGCAUUACUUGAUUCAUUAAACUAAUAAGUGCCCUAACGUAAAAUAUCGGUGGGGGCGUUACCUUUCAUGAUUCUUAAGCUUUAUCUUACCUGCACCACUAUUUGUUUGUAAGUCGAAAUGUGCCCCCAUCCUGGUUAUCUUACAGAGUUAGUGAGUAAAUGCAGCUCCGUUGUCACCCUUGGUAUGUUUUCAUGUGAUUAAACUUAACUAUCUUGCUAGUGCUAGUAAUUUGAAUACGCAGCUAAAUCCAGGCGAUAAGGUUGCCAUCUAGCACUGAUUAUGAUUUGACUUGUGUAUUUUGCAUUUUUGGAAGAUUCUUUGCCCUAAAGUAUGCUGCUGAUGCUGCCUGUACUGUCCUGCGAGUAGACCAGGUAAUUAGCUAUCAUUUAUCUUAGUCUUUACCAUCAGUUAUCACUGACGAGCUUUCAUUAGAUUUGGUCAAGAAAUGAUAUGUAUUUUAAAGCUGAUUUGGUCUUUUCUGUUGAGUUUAUCUAGAAUGAUUACUUAUUUCUGAAAAUUUGUAUACCUAGACUUUUGUAACUGCUUUUCAAUGUUAUUUAACCUCCGAAAAGCUGAUUUCUGGAUCGUGUUCUUGCACUUCUUAUCCUGCCCUUAUGACCUUAACAGGGGUUGAGCUUUCCGAGUCAGGAUCAUCUCGUUUUGCUAGUCAUUUUUUUUCCUGCUAAUUCAUUGUUAUGUGUUCUUGGUGCUAAAACCUUUAUACCCUUAUCUGCAGAUAAUUAUGGCAAAACCAGCUGGCGGUCCCAAGCCCCAACAACAAGGAGGGAUGGAUGAGGAUUAAUUUUAGUGGGCUACACAUUUUCUUUACAUAUUUCAUGCGCUUGUUCUUCCGUUUUUGUUCUUAUCCUUUUGGCCUGAGAUUUUUUUUUUUUUUUUUUUUUUUUGAGAACGCCCUAGACUAUUAUUUUGGUUCUGAUUUUAUCUGUAUAUGCUGCUUUUUGGUCCUAUUUUGAUUAAUGGAUCAAUAGUGACUGGGUUGUGUUCGUGUUGUAACAGAGUUUUAUUAUGGAGAUAACUGUCGUUUCAUUCAAAUUUUUUUUUGGCCCCAAAUUCUUAUUUUAAUUACUGGGUUAGCAAAAGUAGUGUGUGUAAUUGAUGCAAAUUUUUUAGCAUAAUUAUUAUUGAAUAAGGAAUAUGUUAAAUAUAUUUUCGAAAAUAUUUACAGGACUCAAUAUGCAGUUUUGUAGGAAAUUCCCGAAGGCCCUUGUGCUGCUGUAUGGACUCAGUCUAAAACAUGACGUUGGUUCUGAUUCUGAGCCAUUUCAAUUUUAAGAAGGAUAAUACAAGUCCAGGGAUUAAAAAAGAAGACCUAUUUAUCACCUUGAAACACUUCAAAAAAAAAAAAAAAAAAACUAAAAACAGACGUGAGGUAGGAUAUUGAUUUAAUGUAUUACGUAAACCGGUUCGUUAACUGUGUAUAUGCUUUUUUCUCUUCAAAUAUAACAGUAUAUUUUAGAGAUCCAAUGUUUUAUUUUAUAUUAUAGACCAAUAAAAAGACAAUAUCAGAAGGCCUGCAUAAUGUCUAUAGAUAUUUAACGGCUAGAAAUUGUAGGCUUGUGGUUCUUUUAUAGGCAAAAGCAUGAUGAUGUGAUUAUUGACAAAGGUAGUUCACUAUUUCAAAUGUAUGCAUUAAAAGAUUCAGGCACAAAAUGACACUCAAUAACCUUUUUGUACAUCAGUAACUGAUCAAUUUCAUCCUAUAAAAAAAACCUGUGUAGCAAGUAAAAUGAAAUAUGUAUAUGCUGUUAUGAUAAAGAGAAUCAUGCUUUAGGGGCUUAAAGCAAGAAGGGUGUGUGGAGAACAGUGAGGAACACAACGAAGUUAAGGACGUUUUUGUAACCUUGAGUAAGAUAAGAGAUGAAGCAUCUUCUUCACCGUAUAUCAUUUCUUCAUUGACAAGUUCCUCUUCAUUAGCUUCCGAAUUAACUUCUUUAUUGUAUUCGAUCGAUAAUCGGUCUAACGGUGGUUUCACAUGCCUGUGGAUCACUACGUUGUAGAGAGUGUAAGAUCAAAUGGCUCAUGAUAACAUGAUUUCUUUCUUUUCGAGACAUGCCACGAUAUCUUCCAAGUGCCGACAAGAUUAAAGCCUCAUAUAAUACUUUCUUGCACAAACUCGAUCGUGGGUAACCCAUUUCGCCUUAUUUAUACCGAAAACCUUGUCGUUCACAUCCCAAUAUUAGUAGUGUUAGUUGAAGAAAAUAACACCCGUCCUUGAUCAUCAUCAAAUUAAAAACAUGAUCUUCGUCGUUCACAUCCCAAUAUUAGUACUAAGACCAAAUCUUAUCUUCCAGAUUGGAUCAGUACGGUAUUGCGAAAUUUGCAGAAAGCUUUGAAAUGAUACCUAAAACUUUGGCUGAGAAUGCUGGGCUUAAUGCAAUAGAGAUCAUCUCAUCGUUAUAUGCCGAACAUGCUUCUGGUAACACCAAAGUGGGCAUUGAUUUGGAGGAAGGUGUCUGCAAAGAUGCCUCGACUGUGCGCAUAUGGGAUCUCCACAUUACUAA
rnacentral:lncRNA from 1 species